CAGGGCUCAGUUCAGCACCCCCUGAACUGUCUGAGGAGCUGGAGUUGCUCCCUCCGCAGGCGCGUUUCUGUCUGCAGGUUUAUCCUGUUCAGUAGGUCAGGGUUUGUUAUUGACAACAAUGACCUGCCGUGAGCCCUUCUGCGAGUGUGGAGCUGGGGAGCAGGAAGGGCAGCCUUAGCUGUGCUGACGCUUUGCCCUGUCAGGGCAUUUGCACGUCAAAGGCAAAGAAGAAAAAAUGUCCAAAUCAUUAAAAAACUACAUUACUAUUAAGGACUUUCUGAAGACCUUUUCUCCUGAUGUCUUCCGGUUCUUCUGCCUGCGGAGCAGCUACCGCUCAGCCAUCGACUACAGCGACAGCGCCAUGCUCCAAGCUCAGCAGCUGCUCCUGGGACUGGGCUCUUUCCUGGAGGACGCACGUGCCUAUAUGAAGGGGCAGCUGGCCUGCGGCUCCGUCAGGGAAGCGAUGCUGUGGGAGAGGCUCUCCAGCACCAAGAGGGCCGUGAAGGCGGCCUUGGCAGAUGACUUUGACACACCCAGGGUGGUUGAUGCUAUCCUGGGCCUUGCACACCACGGGAAUGGACAGCUCAGGGCGUCCCCGAAGGAACCCGGAGGGCCGAGAAGUCCUGCUGUGUUUGGUGCCAUCAUCUCUUACUUUGAACAGUUUUUUGAAACUGUUGGAAUUUCUCUGGCAAAUCAACAGUGCGUUUCAGG
rnacentral:sRNA from 1 species